rnacentral:rRNA from 1 species
UACGUAGGGGGGCGAGCGUUUGUCCGGAGUUACUGGGCGUAAAGGGCAUGCAGGCGGUCCGACACGUUUUGUGUGACAGCGGGUGGCUUAACUACCCGAGGAUACGAAAGACGGUUGGACUUGAGGACUCGAGAGGGACACGGAAUUCCGGGUGGAGUGGUGAAAUGCGGUAGAGAUCCGGAGGAACACCGAAGGCGAAGGCAGUGUCCUGGCGAGUGACUGACGCUGAGGUGCGAAAGCCAGGGGAGCGAACGGG